rnacentral:lncRNA from 1 species
UUUGGAUGCAGCAUGGCUGCAACAUCACAUUAAUUGAAAAUUUAAGCACAUUAAUUGCUUAAGCAGUAGUUGAACUUUGCUGUUUUUGACUAGAUGUUUGUCGUUAGCAUGGUCAUGGGUAUAAGGCUGUAUGGGCAAUGAUGCUUCUGCUGCAGGAAAAAGUCAAAAUAUAAUUGGUCUGAUGGUGUGCAGAGUAGUAGCAGGGAUCGCUGGUAGGGACAGUAAAAGCUCUAGAGGGUUACAGAAACCUGCCAAAUCUCCAUUCUCACUGCAGGGAGCUCCUGCGUCUGCCAUUUCCAACUCCCGUGGUAGCUCCAGGAGAAACCAGGCAUUGGCAGACACAUUGGAAGGCAGCCACGCAGGCGGGAGACAUUCCUGA